rnacentral:lncRNA from 1 species
UGGCAGGCGGGAGAACGCUCGGGGAGUUGCGGCCGCGGGCACCGGGCUCGCGGCUAUCGGGACUGGAGAGCAAGCGGGCAUCUCCUGGGCGCCGUCAUGGCUGCUUAGGCUGCGCCUGCCUGCGGAUCGCGGAUCCGGGAUCGGAGAUCUGACGGCGACGCCUGAGUCCGGCUAGGGUAGGUAAGUAGUGACAACCGGGGCCAUUGCGUGGCAUAGCCGUGCCGCGACGGGAUGGGUUGCCGCGCUGAGCGCAGACCACGGGGUCCCGGGCCCUUCGGGCUCCGAGGUGAUAAACUCUGAACCUGGGUGCCCCAGUUGCAGCCAGAGAUGCAGCAAAAGGCUCCGGGUCGAUCCAAAUGGGCACUCGUGCCGCGCUAGCUUUCACCCGUGUCCUGCCCGUGUGCUAUGCGGCACUUAAGUGGCGGUCUUUACAACCUGGCGACACUUGGAAAUCGCUAACAGGCUAAAAAGUCGGGAAGAGGUGAUUUGUGUUCCUUUGGGGAAAAUAGACUUAUUCGGAUGCUUUAACAAUAACUGAGCGAUGUCGCUUGUGCUCUUAAAGUUACUUGAAAAUGCUGGACUCCUAAGAAUUCCUGGGAGAAUUCAGAGCGCAACUUGUGUACUUUUCUCCAGUCUCCACAUCAACUUUAAGGUCGCUCGCUAGUAAGGGUUUUGGCUUUGUACCGAAAAAAAGGCUCCAAAAAUGUUGGGAAUCCCCCCUCGCAACAAAUGUGCUACUUUGGUGUUUUAGGAAUCGAGUAAAAAUUAAAAAUAGAAAUGUCCCAGAGUAGAUUCUUCUUCUAGGAAUCUUCAGCUAACCUCGCCCUCCAAGGCAGCGGCUGUUAGCUCUCUGGGGCCUCGCCGAGGUGCUGCUCCCCGAAGCGCCCCCCCCCCCAUUCUUUCCCCUUCUCUCUGCGUUUUAAUCCAUAGGUCUGGGUUGGAGUCUGUGCCUGCUUCCUUGGCGUGUGGUAAGUGAUUAGUAUUUUAGUGACGUAUGAAAAGAUAAAAUGUGUUGUUUUGCGGUUUUUGCUCUGAUACAGUGGGAAAAAUUUAUACUAAUAAAUGAGCACGUUCAUUUAAAUAAAAAAAUCAGAGUUGACGACACUUGACAGAUGCAUUUUCCGACCUCGCUGUCCCGUUCCUCAAACUACACGGAGCAGCGCAUUGUUCCAAACAUGAAGCCCGUAUUUGGAAGUUGUGAAAUCAUUUAAGGAGAUAGUGAUAAGAAAUUGAAAACCACAAACUGAGAAUUUUAAAGUGUCAGACUGUGUCUCAAGUCAGAGGGGUCUUUGUUUUAUGUGCCCCCCCCCCCCCCCCGUCUAUACACACAAAUGUAUGUAAUGUUCUUCAAAAAUGUCAUUUCUUACUCUGAGCUAUGGUCAAAAAAAGUUUAAAAGCCACUGCCCUAGAUAAAUUUUCAUAUGCACCAGAGAACAGGUACAGCAAACAGGCCUUACUGUGUAGUACCACAAAGCUGGUCGACGCCUUCAUGUCCGCCUGACUGGGAAACAUAAAUUAUGUACCAGUCAUAAAAGGGAGCACAGUAUAGGAGCAAAUAAGCCAGUUUUGUGUUUCUGUACAGACUCCUCUCAGUGUUGAGGGGAAGAAAUGAAAACACCUUACUGAAUAUUGCAUGAUUUCACCUAUGUAAAAUUCAGAACCUGGCAGGCAAGGCUAUUGUUUAGGGACCCACAGAGUUAUUAAAAGUCAUAAAGGGAAAAAUGUAAAUGAAUGCUAGGAACGUCAAGUCCGUGGUGGCCUCCCUGGAGGAGGAGGAGGGGUCAGAAGGUGUGAGUGAACACUAAGAAUCCCCGUGAUUCUGGGAACUGCCUCAUCCCCUGACCACUGGACAGUGACCUGAGCCAUGUUUCAGGAUUAAUAACUAUCAAUGAUACAUGUAGAUCUAUUACCCCACCCCAUCAUCAGUAUAUUAAAGAAAGGGAAGAAGCCCAAAUACAAGGCUUGAAAUCUCAUAUUUUCCAUUGCGUCAUAAAGAUCAGGGAGAGUUACCUAGGUAACGUAACAGCAUUAACAUCUUAUUUCAUUAUUUUUCUGGUGGGCACAUUGCUAUUCAUUAAAUCCAUCAUAGGUUCCUAUAUAUUAAACAUUUUAAUAUAUUUUUUAAAAACUUAAGAAAAUUGAAAUCAUUCAGUGUACACUUUUAAAAAGUAACUUUGGUGUUGGUUGGACAUAUUUUAUUUAGCCAUUAAGCUCAGAUGAGAUUUUGUUAUUAAAAAUGUAAAAACUGCAGAGGUAACAAACCACAUGGAUUUUGUAACCCCUCACUCCAGGCUGUAAAACGCUGGCAUGCUGUGUUUAUUUCAACUUCAGUUAUUCCAUGGCUCCAGGCCAUAUUUCUUGUGCUCCACGUAUAACUUUAUAUUUUAUUAUGUUACACGCUUCUACAUUACAGACCAGGACAUUUCUAACACUGCAGACAGUUCUCUUGGGAAACAUUGUUCUGGAUACAGGUCAUGGUUGAAGAAACUUUCAGAUAAUAAACAGACAUUCAUCUUUGUGAUGUGUGUCUUGAUUUUUUUUUUUUUAUGAAAAACUUGGCUGUUAAUGAAAUUGAUUCCACAAUGAUUUUUAAAGUGUUUCCAGUUUGUAUCUUGCCAGCAGUUCAGGAACGCAUGUACUUGUGGGGGUAGAUGUGUAUGCUUUGCUUAUGUGGUGGAGAUAGUACAAGAUAAACAACAUUUGAUUUGAUUUGAUUAUUUUUUUUUAACUUGGGAAGACUCUGUGCCAGGGACUUGGUGCACCCCCUCUGCCAUGGGCACUGCUCGGAUUGGUUUGGGCUUGCUUCUAGGCUCUGUACCCAUUUGUCAUCUGAAAAUAUUACAGUUUUUUAUACACUGUUGCUUUAUAGGUACUGUGUGGUUCUGUUUAAGAAUUAAAGAUGUUUUCAUUAUGGAAUUUUUUUUGUCUUUCCCUGUUUGAGAGGUAUACUCUAGUUCCAACGUGGAGGGCUUGGCAAAUUCCCCUCUUGUUAGUGAAUCUUGAUUUGCACUGCAAUUAGCACAUGUAUCUUGUUUGCUUUUGAGAGUGGCUUUAGUGUCUUAAUUGCUGCUUGUAUCAUGAUGAAGGACACGAAAUCAGAGGCUUUCUGGGGACAGUAAUAUAUGUAUUGUGUGCGUAAGUGUGGCUUGAGACUUUUACCUAAGGUUUCUUUUUCAAGCCUGGGAAGUUUUACCCUUGAUUUCAUUCUCCCCUGAGCUCCCACUUUUUUCUAGGAGCCACAGUUAAAUUAAACAUUAAAAUUUCCCACACGUUUUUAUUCUGGCAUUUAUAUUUUUAUCCAUGUUGAAUUCUGUAUGUUAUUUCUUUGGAUCCACAUGCUAGCCAUCAAACUUGCUCCUUUCUCUAAAUUGAGCUACAAGCUCCAAAUACAAACCGCGGAAAGGGCAAAGACGAAAGGGUGUGGCCUGAUGCAAUGUCCUCAUGGAAAUGCCUGUGAGGCUAGCCAGAUGUGGUCACAAACCCUUUGCAUCCCUGCCCCUUCCCAGUGAGGACCACCCUCCCACUCAACUGUCCUGACUCCAGUCACCAUGAACUUGAAAAAUGUACUUUUUUGGGUUCACAUUGUGUUGUUGAGAGCCAUCUAAUACUUCAUCAAAACUUUGCUUGUUUUCCCUUUAUACACGGGACUGGCAAACUGUGGCUUAUUAGCCAAUUCUAGCCCAUUCCAUAUUUUCAUACAGCAACCUUUAUUGGAACAGUGCCAAAGCCCGUUUCUCUAUGGAACCAUCAGACCCACAAAGCCUAAGGUAUUUACUUUCUGGCUGCUAGGGGGAAGUUCAUUUGCUCCAGUAUACAUUGCAAACACUUUAUCCAUUUUACAUUUUUUUUUUAUGAACAUUUGACUUGUUUUCCAUAUUGGACUGUUACAAGUUAAAUUGCUAUAAUGCUUUUUCUUUGUUUUAAAAAAAUGAAUUUACUUUCUUUCAAUUAUGCAAAUGUGUGUAUAUAUUUGCCGCGUUCCACAAAGGUAAGUGCAGGUACCUGCGGAAGCUGGAGAUGCUGGGAUCGCCCUGGAGCUGAAGGACCAGUAGGUACUGGGAACUGGGCGGGGUAGGCUGUGAAAAAGAGCACUGUUUGCUCUUAACUGCCGAGGUAUAUCUCCAUCCCCUGAUGUUUUUGGAACUCAUUGGUGGAGAUAUGUCUCUUAGUUACAGAUUGAAUGUCCCUAAUCUUAAAGCCUAGUCUUUUUGAAUCUUUGAAGCUUUUGGGUACCAAUAUUCCACAAGUGGAAAAUCCCACACCUGGGCUUAAAUGGUAAGUUUCAGUCAAAUGCAAGUAAAUAAGAAUAGUAUAUAGAUAUGAUAUACAUCAAGCAUAUAUGACCCCUAGCUGAGGGGGCUAUACAACUCAGUACAUUCUUACAUAGCACCCCUGAGGCUCAGGGUUCAAUACCCAGCCCUACAAAUAAGGAAGUAAAUAAACAAACAAAUAAAGUGCAUUUUAUAUGCACACUUAGGUCCCACUCCAAAAUAUCUUAUGCAUAUUACAAUUUUUAAAAAUAUCAAAUGCUAAGGGACAUACAAUCUGCACAGCCCAAGAAGUUGAAUUUAUUUCUGUAGGUUUGUUGCAUUGUCAUAUUUAUAAUGAGUGGCAUUUACUUUUUUUUGGGGGGGGGGGAAGGACAGGUCAUACUGGGUAGUGCUUGCUGGCCUAGAACUUAGUAUGUAUUCCAGGCCAACUUUAAACUCCCACCCCUGCCUCUGGGGGCUGGGACAUCACAGAUUCUCUGUGAAGAAGUGCCUGCUUACAUAUCUUGCCAAUUUAAAAAUUUUGUUCAUUUUAAUUCCUAAUACAGUCUGGAAGGGCGACUCACCGGGUACCUGCUUACAAAUUGUUAUUUUUUGAGACAAGGUUUCCCUGUGUAGAUCUGGGAUGCUGCCAACUCCCCAUGUAAAUUAAAUUAGCUGGCUUUGAACUCACGGAGGUCCACCUGCCUCUGCCUCCAGAGUGCUAAGAUUAAAGGUGUGUGCCAUCUGGCCUGUCAAUAAAUAUUUUUUUGCCUCUGGAAUUUAGUUUGUCAUUUGCCUCACAUGCU